ACUCCUACGGGAGGCAGCAGUGGGGAAUCUUAGACAAUGGGGCAACCCGUGCAUCUAGCCAUGCCGCGUGAGUGAUGAAGGCCUUAGGGUCGUAAAGCUCUUUCGCCAGGGAUGAUAAUGACAGUACCUGGUAAAGAAACCCCGCCGUACAUCCGUGCCAGCAGCCGCGGUAAUACGGAGGGGGUUAGCGUUGUUCGGAAUUACUGGGCGUAAAGCGCGCGUAGGCGGACUAGAAAGUUGGGGUGGAAAUACCGGGCCGUCACCAUCGGAACUGCCUUCAAAACUCCUAGUCUAGAGUUCGAGAGAGGUGAGUGGAAUUCCAAGUGUAGAGGUGAAAUUCGUAGAUAUUUGGAGGAACACCAGUGGCGAAGGCGGCUCACUGGCUCGAUACUGACGCUGAGGUGCGAAAGUGUGGGGAGCAAACAGGAUUAGAUACCCUGGUAGACUGUC
rnacentral:rRNA from 1 species